rnacentral:lncRNA from 1 species
GAGAGUCAGGAGGUAGGAUGGGAGAGUCAGGAGGUACGACGGUAGAGUCAGGAGGUAGUAUCCUAGAGUCAGGAGGUAUUAUGGUAGAGUCAGGAGGUAGGAUGGUAGAGUCAGGAGGUAGGAUGGUAGAGUCAGGUUGUGAGAUGGUAGAUUCAGGAGGUAGGAUGGUAGAGUCAGGUUGUGAGAUGGUAGAGUCAGGAGGUAGGAUGGUAGAGUCAGGUGGUAGGAUGGUAGAGUCAGGUUGUGAGAUGGUAGAGUCAGGUUGUGAGAUGGUAGUGUCAGGUUCUGAGAUGGUAGAGUCAGG